UACGGGGGGUGCGAGCGUUGUUCGGAAUUACUGGGCGUAAAGGGCUCGUAGGUGGCCAACUAAGUCAGACGUGAAAUCCCUCAGCUUAACUGGGGAACUGCGUCUGAUACUGGAUGGCUUGAGUUUGGGAGAGGGAUGCGGAAUUCCAGGUGUAGCGGUGAAAUGCGUAGAUAUCGGGAGGAACACCUGUGGCGAAGGCGGCCACCUGGUUGGAUACUGACGCUGAGACGCGAAAGCGUGGGGAGCAAACAGG
rnacentral:rRNA from 1 species